rnacentral:lncRNA from 10 species
AGAACGGCCCUCGGGCGCGUCGCGGCCGCGGCUCCAGAGCCCCUGGGCCUCGCGCUCUGAGAGCCUGAGCCGCUUGAGGAGGCCAAGCGCCCACGAACCGCAUUCCCUGCCUUGCUAGUUAGUUCUCCAACACGCGAAAAAGGUAGACGAGGACUGGUUUUCUUUGCAGCUAAAAUGAAUCAAGCCUCUGACUGCAGAAAGCAGGGACUUAGCUGAGAAAAUUAAUCGUGCACUCAUUCAGCAAAGGUUUCAGGGCCUGCUGUGUGGAGACACGGUUCCAAGCACUGCUGCAGUAGCAGGGAGGAAACAGAACGGACCUCAAACGCUGUCCCAGCAAGGACUCCAGUCUCUGCCUUGUGGAUGUGUAACUGGCACAUGAUGUACCAGAAACUCCUGUGUGUGGUUGUAUCCGGUGCGUGACACAGUACUCUCUCCAGCUGCUCCUUGGAUUUGGGAAGCAGCCGAAGAUUUACGGGCCAUGGAGGCUCCUUCUAUCCCUGGAAAUCGGCCCUUGGGAAUUAAGCUGAGUUAUGUGGUUAAAGCCGUCAUGACAGCCAUCCCCUGGCUGGGCCAGUUCUGGGAAUAACUAUAAUGCUUAUACUACAGGAUGGCCAAUUCAGAACUUCUUACUAGUGCUGAAUUCAAUAAAGGUUUAAUAACACAUUUCUCAAAUCCUUAACAGUACUUUAGGACGUCUCAGCUAGAGAGGGCUUGCAAGGGAUUCUUAUUUAUUUUUUAUUUUUUUUGAGACAGAGUCUCGCUCUGUCGCCCAGGCUGGAG